rnacentral:rRNA from 1 species
UAGGGAAUCUUCCACAAUGGGCGAAGGCCUGAUGGAGCAACGCCGCGUGUGUGAUGAAGGCUUUCGGGUCGUAAAGCACUGUUGUAUGGGAAGAACAGCUAGAAUAGGAAAUGAUUUUAGUUUGACGGUACCAUACCAGAAAGGGACGGCUAAAUACGUGCCAG